ACACACACACACCACACAAACACACACACAAACACACACACACACACACACCUCUCCCUGCUACACUACUUGCUGCUCACAUUUCGGGGUCCAUCUCGCAUUAAUAAAUGAUAUUUUUUGCAGCUCUUUCGUACAUCAGCUUAUAUGCACUUCUCUAGCAUUCUCAGGGAGUGGUACUACCUUUUAAAGGGUUCGGACCUGCUGUUGGUUCGAGUUUAAUGCCACGUCACAAUACCACUGGAGCUUGGAAAGGCCUGCGUGACCUAGCUCGGUCCAGAUAGGAGCCCUGCACACCCCAGCCCCCCUUCGGGACCAUACACCCACAUGGUGGGGGGGGGGGGGGGGGCGGUGAGACAUGUUUUAUUUUAACUGCAAUAUCUCUGUCCUUCCUGUGAUUUCCCCACUGACUUCUUCUUGUUUCCAAAAAUCAGGUUUUUAUCUGACUGAGUGACAGCAUGUUCAUUUCAGUCGCCUGUAUCCAAUUCAGCUGACUAAGGGUUCAAACGCUUCAAAGAGAGUGUUUGUUUGAUUUCAUAUUGAGCACAAGUCUGCACACACAUUAUAUCCCAGCUUCACACACACACGCACGCGCGCACACACACACACACACGCGUCUGGAGUUGUCUGGCUUACAUGGGGUAACACGAGGCACACAGGGAUGUCUACAUGAAACCAGCUUUAUCUUUUUAUAUGAGCAGGAAUUUCACAAGAUGAGAAUGGUUCUGAAAUUAGAAGGUAAUUUGUAGAAUUUUUUUUUAUUGCUGGUUUACUGAUUAAUAAGGAAAAUAUUCCCAGACAGAGGAAGAGCGUGCGUGCCUUAAUGAGCUACUCAAGGACAUCCACGUAGCACGCUUAAAAUUGAAAAAUGAAGAGCGCUAAUAGGUCGGAGCAUCUCCUAACUGCAGCAGCCGUCGAGUCUUGAUGCUAGUGAUUUAUCUUUAAUUGGAUUUUACAGAAGGGUCUCCCAGCGGGAGUCGGCGGUCUCAUUUCUAAACUGUCCCUAAAAACUUUAUGCAAAAUGUACAGACAAAUAAGCAAAGUUGGGCUGGCAGUAAGGAGAUAAGGCAGUUAAAGCCUGAAAACCAUCCUACACCUGACCUGCAUAAUUGUUGUCCUGUAAAUAUACACAGCAGCACAGAAAAUAUUCAUCUGCAUAUUUUUACAUAUAUUUCACAUGAAAACAGUUUUUUUUUUUGUUUUGUCCUCUGCUCUUUCACUAUUCAUAACUGACCUCGAUAUUAACCCCAAAUCAUUGUUAAAAACCAAGCACUGAUCCAAUUCUUUCAAACAAUGUAUAGCAUUCAACUUUUUGCCUGAACAUUAACAAACACAUCAGAGAAUUUAGAGAACGAGUCGACGAACAUUAUACUGAAACUCUACCCUGAUAUUCAUAUUGUACUUUUCUUUUUUAAGAUAUAUUUUCUCUGGGACUUUUUGUGAGUGAAAUGUCAACCGAAACACCAAAACGAUAAAUCACAAAUGAACCACUGGCUUCAAGUGUUUUUUUUUCCCCUUAAAGUAUUAACUCACUGUGGUCUCUGCUGCAGUGUGCAGUGAGAGGGGGAAAGAGACGCUGGCUCUCAGGGGUUAAGAUGCUAGCAGUCAUGUGCUUGUCGGCUGCAACAAAAGCCUGCCUAUGUAGGGUGCAUACAGAUGGAGCGAGCUCCUUUGUGUGCAGUGUUUCACACGUCGCAGCCUCGGAGCUGCCAGGUCUGGCUCUCUGGGCCUGGCUACAGGCCUAGCUAGCAGCUUGUAGCACCUGACGCUGGGCUCUCACUUUGCUUUUUCUUUGCUUGGGACACAAGUGCAGCAAGUUUUCUUUCUUCUUUUAUUUUUUUUCCUUUCUUUUUUUUUUGAAAGAUAAUGGAACAGAAGUCCAAAUAGUGGGUCACACAGCUCAACACAAACAAUCGCAACAAAAUACAGCACAGCAGAGCAUGGCGCUGUAGCCAGGCGGGCUCAGAUCAGCAUGACAGGAGCAAUUUGCCAUCGAUAUCCUACUGGGCACGUCUCUAUCCGAGGGCUGGCUUUAUUCACCCCUGAACCUCCAAGCAGAGGAGAAGUUCAUCACUGAAUCCCUGGCAGCAAGUAUCAUUUGGCUCUCCUUGUCUCUCCUUGACAAAAAGGACAAAUCCCUCCAUUCUUGCAUUGACUACCCGGGUCUCAACAACAUCACCGUCAAAAACAGGUACCCUCUCCCCCUCAUUUACUCAGCUUUCAAACUGCUACAGGGGGCUUCUGCUUUUUGUAAGAUAGACCUCAGGAAUGCUUAUCACCUGGUAAGCAUUAGGAAGUGGGAUGAGUGGAAGACUGCCUUUAACAAACCGAGCAUCCACUAUGAAUAACUGGUGAUGCUUUUUGGUUUGGUCUGACCAAUGUUCUAGCGGUUUUCCAAAUGUUAGUUAGUGAUGUACAUGGGACAUCCCGAAGUUUGUUUUUGUAAAUUUAAAUGAUAUUCUGAUCUUUUCCAAGACCAAGCAGGAGCAUGUGUGACGUGUGAUGUGUCCUUUAAAGACUGCCGGAGAAUCAGCUCUUCAUCAAGUGAAGCGGUGUUGUUCCUGGGGUUCACCGUCACUGCAGAUCCCACAAAGGUGAAGGUAGUCAUGGACCCAUUCCUUCCUUUUGCAAGCAGUUGUCAUGCUUCCUGAGUUUUGCAAAUUUAUACAGGCAUUUCAUCCAGAACUAAAGCUCCCGUCCUCAUCCCUCCUGAUCCCUCUUUUAAGUUUAGGGUCGAGGCUGAUGCCUCUGAUGCAGUCAGAGGAUACAGACCCUCCACACCUCCUGCAUCAUCGGAGCAGUGUCAUAAGGAAUCAAACAUAAGAACAGGACACCCCAUAGUUUUUGCCUCCUGCCCUAAGCACAAGAAACCCUGCCAAGCCUGUGCCAGGCUCCUCCAACUGCUGUCUGUUCUUCAUUGACCCUGGUCCCACAUCUCCCUGGAUUUUGUCACUGGGUGCCUCCCUCUGAAGGUCACACAGUCAUUCUUAUGGUAGUAAGAAUCGUUUUUCCCAAAACUGCUCAUUUGUCUGCCCAAGUUACCCACAGCUAAACAGACGGCCAAACUGUUGCUACAUUUUUUCGUCAUAUUCCCAAAGCCAUCGUCUCUGAUCAGGGACCUCAAUUCACCUCUUGGUUCUGGACAGUUUUGUUGUCUCAUAGGUGACACCAUCAGCCUGUCCUCUUGGUCCUACCCGUGGGCCAAUGGGCAGACGAAACCAGGAGUCAGAGAAGGUUUUGCAGUGCAUCUGUUCUUACUACCCUGGAUCUCAGUCCAAACCACUGCUGUGGGUAGAGUGCACACUCAAUAACUGGCCUAUCUCCAGUGCUCCUUCGACUGUCAACCAACACUCCUCCCUGAACAAGAAAGGGACACCAGCAUCCCCUUGGUCCAGUUUGUUCAUCAUGGUCGCUGCACCUAAAUGAGGGCCUGGUCCACGCUACCACACUACAGCCCCUCCCCCCUAGACCUCCUCCAGGAGGGCUCUGCAGUCCUGGUCCAGGGUGUUUUAGAGCCGACCCUGAUGUAAAGAAUUUCACUGCUGGUCACCUGGACCAGCCUGGAGGGACAUCAGAAGUCAUCCCAAGAGGUGCUUCUGUGACUAUAUACUCGUGAACUCUGUUCGAUAGGUUUGCCUCAUCUCUCCUGCCAACCUGAUUUUGACUUUUUCCUGUUUUCAACCUCAAGUAAAAAUUUUAAAAGCCUUUAGACCAAAGUUAUCUGGCAUCAAUGAAAAGGAUGAAAAAUUCACUUACUGGUUUUUAAUAAAAGAAUCAUGUUACAGAACUUAAUAACAUUAUAUUAAGGGCUGCUUUCACAUUGAAACUGAUUUUUUUCACUUGUGUAAAAACUUAUAAUCUAAAUUCUGGCAACUUAUUAUAAAUUUUAAGUAGAGACAAGUAAGCACUCCUUUUGUUUUGUUUUUUAAUUUUUAAUUUUCUUUGUGUCUGUGCAAGAAAAGUGGGGUGAGUUCCUACAUCUUGCAGUGGGUCUGUUGGCCAUGCUGUAUGUGGAUUGACACCUGCAGAGGUCACACAUGAGCUAAAACUCUGCAGGGAGAAGGGCAGAGGAAGUGGAGAGGGAAGAGAAACACCCGAGAGAGACAGAGAGAUGACCGGACUGUAGUCAAAACGAAAUUUACAAAAAGUUUUUUCAUGGAGGGGUAAAGCUUGAGCCGAGCAGUUUGCCACAUAGAACAAGACUGCAGGUUUAGACAAGCACAGGAUGAACUCUUCAUUUCUUUUUUACUGUGUAUAUUCAAAUAACUUUAUUUACCAGUAACUAUGGGGUAGAGGAAAAAAUUGUAACUACAUUUAGUUCUGUACUACUACUGAAACUAUUGUUAUUUUUAUACUACAAUAGAUUUUUUUUGUACUUUUAAUUGAGCUGUGUGCCAAAGUUAUGAGUUACUUUUACACUUUCAACUUCCCAACAGUACAAGUCAUUAGAUCUAGUUUCACCUGGAUCAGCUAGAAUAUUAAAACUCUGCUUUAAUCAAUCAUUAACAUAUUCAUUAAGUUUUUUUUAUUUUUUAUUUUGCUGCCAAUUUAUCUUUUAAAAAAAUAGCAUGUAGUAUUUUAACAGAUCGGUUUUACAUUGUGGUUUUACCCCUCAGCAAAGGAUUUAACACUCUUCCGACCGGACAUGACCAAAGGCUAUAUUGCACUGAGGUUCCCGAGUCAAAUCUCAACCCCCGGACACAUCGCAGGAAAAUGACACAGGUCUCAGCCAGCUGAGUUCCCACAAGAAACAAAAAGUCUUCUAUCCCACUCCAUCAGUCAAAAGCAAAUCCUGCUGCCAAGCAUUGUUCAAACCCACAUAACUUUAUUUCACGUUCCACUGAAGUGCCUAAUGUUUCCAAAUAUACUAAAUAUGUCAUGUUGAAUUAUGGGGAAGUGGUAUAAAUUGAUGUGAGAGACAUGCAAAAUCUUUCCAUUUUAUGUAACGUUGAGGCUUUAAAAAGACAGCAUCGUGAGACUGAACAUUUCUUUCAAAAUGAGCAUUUAGUGAAGACUUACAUACAGAAUACCGUAUGCGUGCGAGCCUGUCAUAUGUGUGGAGGAGAACACUUAACAUUAAGAGGAAAUUCAAGUUUGGAGCAGCUUGUGAAGUGAACUCUGAGCCUCAUAUUGAUCUUACACUACUGGAAUUAUACUUCAUCAGUAAACUCCUCCCAUUCGGUUGUCAAUGCAAGUUAAAACAAACAUGAUAAACUACUUACAAGCAGGAUUUCAUCUCUGGCCAGAGAUAGUUACAAGUCUUUCUCUCAAGCCAUUUGUUCAGUCUAUGCACAUUAUUUGUUGUCACAAAAUUCUUCCUAAACAAGUCGUAAAUCUUUCCUUUAAAUUCUAUUCCAGCACUUUUGAGCUGUUUCAGUAAAAAGUUACUCAUUUACUGUAAAAUUCACUUAAAACCACAUUUUCAAAUAGCAUCAAUUCCAUGACUACAACAUAAUGUUCUGAUUUACGAGGAGUCAAAGACGUCAUUAUGUUAGGAGCAACAUCACAGGAGGAAAAAAUAUAAUAAAUUAUCACGCAACAAUUUCAUUUCUUCCCAGAGUUCUUCGUACAUAAAAUCCACCAUGAUCAAAUCCCCUUAACUCUCCUACGUAAUUACCGUGCUCCAAAACUAAAGGCAGGCAUCUUUCUCCCUCAGACUGCUGACGAUGUUACUGGACAAACUACGGCUCACCACUCAAAUCUUCUUCUGGUUAUUAUGGCCUAUUAAAGAUCAACUCGGCUGUAGUGAAGCAUUAGACUGAGACUGUCAGUUUGAACAUUAAUCAUCUUAUUUUCUGUCUCGUUCUCAUUCGCCGUUUCACAAGAGCUGGGAGUGUGCGUUCGAUUUUGAUCGCAUUCUGCUUCAAAACUCUAGAGAUAUUAUUAAGAAAUGCUGAUUUUCUAGAUUAAGUUUCAAUUUCCAUUUUAUUCUUCCAACUUUAUAUAACCAAAUUAAUCCUGUUUAUAUUAAGUGUGUUUUUGAAGAAACAUCUGGGUGAGAAAGAGAAGCCAAAUGGGUUAAACUGACAUAUUAUUUGUGUUAAACAGAGAAAAAUGUUCAACUUUGCAACAUUUUUUGGAAGCAAAACACAACAGAAUUGAUCCUUUUGCCUUUCAGGUAUGAAUCCUGAUUUUCCACUUAAGCUGAUUUGAUCAUAUCGCUCAUAUGUCUUUGCACACAUGCCGAGUGGACGUUUGUGUGGUAGCGUGGUCCAUGCACUCACCUGCACUGCAGUCUCUGAGGCCUUGUUGUUCCACGUCUGCGUGUGUCCUCACUUGCCCUGCACCAAAAAACACAAGACGCAGAAAAGGACUCAAAUCUCAAAUUAAAGUGAGUGUGGGGACUUGCUGCUCCGCUGGUUCGACCUGCCCUGCAAAAAUUUAUCGAGAACGGUGAUUGAUUAGGACGUGUGGUGCGCGGUUUUGUUGCAUGUUGUUCUCCCACAGUGUGCCAGUACAAGCUGAGCACAGGACAUUCUUACUGGAACAUUUCUGCUGCUAAAUGUCAGUGUUGUUGGGCCGAGCACCAACUGGAAUUUAUUUAUUUUUCCUCUCGACCAUAAGUUUGUAGUAAUUACGUAAGUAUUUAAUCUUAUUCCUAUCACAUUUGUAUAAUAAGUUCCCAUUUUUCUUACUAAUUUCAUGACGUACACUACUGUAUGCUUUCCUCUAUUAAACAGACCAACAACCACAAUAGAAAUUCAAGUUAAAAUAAGACCACUGGCAUGCAUAUUGUAGAAAAAGCAGCAGCUAUUCGACGGUAAACAUUUGUCCAUUCAGGCUGUACAAUAAUAAAACACUGCCCUUUACGAAGGUCAAAGCACAAAGUCAGUUACAGCCUCGCCCUGACGCUGCUGGAGGUCUGCGGGCAAGGCGGAGGCUUAAGUGGACAUGUUCUCUCAGCAAAUCCGCCCUUCUGCUAUAUUAAUACAAACUUCUAUAUACACACACACACAACAAGUAAAGGAAAGCAAAAGGCCAGUGCAUUAUGCCAUGAACAGUACAGUUCAUCUCCAUUGUUCUUUGCCAAACGUGCGUUCGUGAAUAUUUCUGUCGUGCUGCAGCAGCAGCGUGUCCUUCUAGUUCGUUCUUCCAGACACAUAAAUCAAACAGUUAAAAAGAUUUUUGCAAACACAUGAAAGAGGCUGAGUAGGUGGUUUUAGUUAGGAUAUCUGGUCCCGUUUAAUUCCUAAAAACCCCCUUUGACUGCAAUAUGUACAUGAAUCCGUGAAAAUGAGAUUAUGUACAAUUAGGGUUUAGGUCAUGCUGUUUCAACAUUUCUAACAUUUGCCUUGGCCCGUGUUUGAUUCUUGGAACAAGUGUCAUCCAACAUGAAAUGUGUCUGAGAACAAAAUUCAAACUCGGUGACCUUCAAACCAAAUCAAUCCAUGUAACGCCUGCGACCAAAGAAUGAUAGCAGUUUGAUACGUCAGUAAGAUAAUAUAUAUAUAUAUAUAUAUAUAUAUAUACGACCA